rnacentral:rRNA from 1 species
AUUGAACGCUGGCGGCAUGCCUUACACAUGCAAGUCGAACGGUAACAGGUCUUCGGAUGCUGACGAGUGGCGAACGGGUGAGUAAUACAUCGGAACGUGCCCGAUCGUGGGGGAUAACGGAGCGAAAGCUUUGCUAAUACCGCAUACGAUCUACGGAUGAAAGCAGGGGACCGCAAGGCCUUGCGCGGACGGAGCGGCCGAUGGCAGAUUAGGUAGUUGGUGGGAUAAAAGCUUACCAAGCCGACGAUCUGUAGCUGGUCUGAGAGGACGACCAGCCACACUGGGACUGAGACACGGCCCAGACUCCUACGGGAGGCAGCAGUGGGGAAUUUUGGACAAUGGGCGCAAGCCUGAUCCAGCCAUGCCGCGUGCAGGAUGAAGGCCUUCGGUUGUAAACUGCUUUACUAUGCGACUAACUAGAUUUACGAGUAUAAUUCUAUAGAAUGUAGCAUAGCAAAAGACACCGGCUAACUCCGUGCC